UACGGAGGGUGCAAGCGUUGUUCGGAAUGACUGGGUGUAAAGGGCGCGUAGGCGGGCCAAUAAGUCGAAUGUGAAAGCCCAGGGCUUAACCCUGGAAUUGCAUUCGAAACUGUUGGUCUUGAAUGUCUGAGAGGUUAGUGGAAUUCCAAGUGUAGGAGUGAAAUCCGUAGAUAUUUGGAGGAACACCGGAGGCGAAGGCGGCUAACUGGCAGAACAUUGACGCUGAGGCGCGAAAGCGUGGGUAGCAAACAGG
rnacentral:rRNA from 1 species